rnacentral:SRP_RNA from 10 species
GCUGGGUACAGCGUGUGCCUAUAGUUCCAGCUACCAGGAGGCUGAGGCAGGAAGAUCGCUUGAGCCCAGGAGUUCUGGGCUGUAGUGAGCUAUGUCGAUCAGGUGUCCACACUAAGCUCAGCAUGAGUAUGGUGACUCCCGGGAGUGCGGGACCACCAGAUUGCCUAAGGAGGGGUGAACCAGCCCAGGCUGUUAACAGAGCAGGUCAAAACUCCCAUGCUGCUCAGUAGUAGGAUUGUGCCUGUGAAUAGCUACUGCACUCCAGCCUGGGCAACAUUAAAAAAAU